rnacentral:rRNA from 1 species
UCGGGAAUUUUGGGCAAUGGGCGAAAGCCUGACCCAGCAACGCCGCGUGAAGGAUGAAGUAUUUCGGUAUGUAAACUUCGAAAGAAUAGGAAGAAUAAAUGACGGUACUAUUUAUAAGGUCCGGCUAACUACGUGCCAGCAGCCGCGGUAAUACGUAGGGACCAAGCGUUGUUCGGAUUUACUGGGCGUAAAGGGCGCGUAGGCGGCAAUUCAAGUCAUCUGUGAAAUCUCCGGGCUUAACUCGGAACGGUCAGAUGAUACUGCUUUGCUAGAGUGCAGAAGGGGCAAUCGGAAUUCUUGGUGUAGCGGUGAAAUGCGUAGAUAUCAAGAGGAACACCUGAGGUGAAGACGGGUUGCUGGGCUGACACUGACGCUGAGGCGCGAAAGCCAGGGGAGCAAACGGGAUUAGAUACCCAAGUAGUCCCUGAGCGGGCUGGCA